UUUGAGAUGGAGUCUCGCUCUGUCACCCAGGCUGGAAUGCAGUGGUACAAUCUCGGCUCACUGCAACCUCCACCCUCCAGGUUCAAGCGCUUCUCCUGCCUCAGCCUCCCCAGUAGCUGAGAUUACAGGCAUGCGCUACCGUGCUUGGCUAAUUUUUUUUUGUAUUUUUUAGUAGAGACGGGGUUCGCCGUGUUGGCCAGGCUGGUCUCGAACUCCUGACCUCAAGUGAUCCGCCCACCUCACCCUCCCAAAGUGCUGAGAUUACAGGCAUGAGCCACCGUGGUUGGCCUCUUAUCAGACUUUUAUGCACAAUAGCUUCAAGUAAGUUUUCACGAAAUUCAAACACCUGUUCCUGCUUCUCUUUCCCAGAGAGCUUGCCUCAGGAUGCUGAAGUGUGGUUUACCUACACAGGAGAUGCAAAAUUACUUGGAAAUUUGCACUUCAUUGGAGGCAACCCAGAAGGAAUGACUGAUUAGUGUGAAGGCGUAAAUACUCUAGUCCCACUACCACUGACAAGGACAACUGCGGCAUGUGAGCUGAACUGAAUUUAGAGCUUCUAAAUCAUACAUAACUGCUAGAUAUGUAUUCUUUUAUAUCUAUGAUAUAUUUCUUAAAAUUCAGCCUUUGAGCAGGAACAAAGCCUAAAAACCCUAUAAGAGUCCAGAAAAGCAAGAAGCCACCUACAAAAAUAGAAGGAGAUAAUGAAGUCAGAGCACAUAUGACUUGCCCAAAGCAACACAGCAAGAAAUUAGCAUACCUCGCCUCCUAUGGAAGUCUUUUACCUGCAAAUUUCAAAGAUGUAAUACUACUCUACUGCUGUAUGCAUUUUCCAACUAUUCUAGAGGACUUUGGGAGUCUCAAAAGGAAUUGUAAUAAUGUGAUUGAAACAUUUUGGAAAAUGAGAUAUGACAGGGAGAAAAAUUUAACACCAAAUCCAGAGCAGUUUAGGGUAAUGAACCAGGAAUGAACGCUAAAUCUGUCACGGUGAUAAAAGACUAUUAUGCUGGUGUAGCAAUCCUAGUCAAGACUUGGAUCUCUAAUCCCACUCCAAACAACAAAAGGAAAACCUUCAAUGCAUGUAAGCAAACUAAAUUCAACACCAAUUUAAUGGGUGGCCUGGCCUCACGGGACUCCCUCUUGCCACCAAGACUCAUUAUUAAGAGGUUAGUGUAAAGCCACAGGAUUCCACCUACUUCAGGAGAGUAGCCUGGCACCAUCACCAGUUGAAGUCCCAUCCACAAUCAAGGGCAAGCCUCCUUAUAAUUACCAAGAUACUGGCACAUAGCCUCACGAGUUAUUUAGAGAAUCAUCUCUUGCUCUUAGUACUGAUCCUCCUAAAGACAGAAACUACAGGCACCCUCCGCUCAGAACCAGCUGCCUGAAGCUGUUGCAUCCUCAUUCUGCCUAUCCUGGGAUUCCAUCCCGAUGACUGCACACCCCACACUUAGCAAUAUCAUAUCCCUUACACAGGCAAUUGCAAAGCACAUGCUCUCAGGUGCCCUGCUGCCUCAUCACACAGGCGCCACCUCAGGAGGCUGAGCCUGGAGUGGCCACUGGAUGAGAUGGUCAAGUUUGUAGCUACAGGCUUCCCCCUGUUGCUGAUGUCUCUGGCAUUUUCCCAAACUCUUCUUGAGAGAGCUGCUGCCAUUGUCCACUUUUGAAUUGCAGCCAACAGUUGAAAACCCCAUCAGAAGCAUUUACUUUGGAGACCAACAAAGAAGAGGCAAAAGAAAAAUGUGAGAAGGCUCAGCCUAACUUAUUGUCGCUUCCAGAAUUUUUCAAUGAAAAACAUGGAAACAAACUUUUGUUUCCAGCAUGUAUGUUAGAUAGAGGUGCCCACAACAGAAACAGAACCAUGUGGUAAAGUAACUGCCUCAUAACAUUCUCAGUUUCACCUAAAUCGUUCUUUAUGUUAUAAUCUCUUUUCACUGCCUAGUGAUCCUUGGCUCUUUUCUUGAAACUUGAAAUGUAUUAAACUGAUAGGACACAGUGCGCUUUGGCCAGACUGGUCAAAAAGAGGAUUCCACUAAUCAGUGCUUCAUGUGGGCUGUAUUAUUAGGAAACUCCUGUCCUACAGGUCUAAUUCUUUUCUCCUGGGCUGAAUUUAAUGCAAAUAUUUUUUACAAUUAGAUUUUAACUUACCUGUUCAUUAUUUUAGCUAUGAU
rnacentral:lncRNA from 1 species